rnacentral:rRNA from 1 species
GACGAACGCUGGCGGCGUGCCUAAUACAUGCAAGUAGAACGCUGAAGAGAGGAGCUUGCUCUUCUUGGAUGAGUUGCGAACGGGUGAGUAACGCGUAGGUAACCUGCCUGGUAGCGGGGGAUAACUAUUGGAAACGAUAGCUAAUACCGCAUAAAAUUGAUUAUUGCAUGAUAAUUAAUUGAAAGAUGCAAUUGCAUCACUACCAGAUGGACCUGCGUUGUAUUAGCUAGUUGGUGAGGUAACGGCUCACCAAGGCGACGAUACAUAGCCGACCUGAGAGGGUGAUCGGCCACACUGGGACUGAGACACGGCCCAGACUCCUACGGGAGGCAGCAGUAGGGAAUCUUCGGCAAUGGGGGGAAACCCCUGACCCGAGCAACGCCCGCGGUG